rnacentral:rRNA from 1 species
GAACGGGUGAGUAACACGUGGGUGAUCUGCCCUGCACUCUGGGAUAAGCCUGGGAAACUGGGUCUAAUACCGAAUAGGACCACGCGCUUCAUGGUGUGUGGUGGAAAGCUUUUGCGGUGUGGGAUGGGCCCGCGGCCUAUCAGCUUGUUGGUGGGGUAAUGGCCUACCAAGGCGACGACGGGUAGCCGGCCUGAGAGGGUGACCGGCCACACUGGGACUGAGAUACGGCCCAGACUCCUACGGGAGGCAGCAGUGGGGAAUAUUGCACAAUGGGCACAAGCCUGAUGCAGCGACGCCGCGUGAGGGAUGACGGCCUUCGGGUUGUAAACCUCUUUCAAUAGGGACGAAGCGCAAGUGACGGUACCUAUAGAAGAAGCACCGGCCAACUACGUGCCAGCAGCCGCGGUAAUACGUAGGGUGCGAGCGUUGUCCGGAAUUACUGGGCGUAAAGAGCUCGUAGGUGGUUUGUCGCGUUGUUCGUGAAAACUCACAGCUUAACUGUGGGCGUGCGGGCGAUACGGGCAGACUAGAGUACUGCAGGGGAGACUGGAAUUCCUGGUGUAGCGGUGGAAUGCGCAGAUAUCAGGAGGAACACCGGUGGCGAAGGCGGGUCUCUGGGCAGUAACUGACGCUGAGGAGCGAAGGCGUGGGGAGCGAACAGGAUUAGAUACCCUGGUAGUCCACGCCGUAAACGGUGGGUACUAGGUGUGGGUUCCUUCCUUGGGAUCCGUGCCGUAGCUAACGCAUUAAGUACCCCGCCUGGNGAGUACGGCCGCAAGGCUAAAACUCAAAGGAAUUGACGGGGGCCCGCACA